rnacentral:rRNA from 1 species
ACUCAAAUGAAUUGACGGGACCCCGCACAAGCAGCGGAGCAUGUUCUUUAAUUCGAGGCGACGCGAAGAACCUUACCAGGUCUUGACAUCCGGGUAAAGCGGUUGAAAGGCCGUGUCCCUUCGGGGGACCCGAGACAGGUGGUGCAUGGUUGUCGUCAGCUCGUGUCGUGAGAUGUUGGGUUAAGUCCCGCAACGAGCGCAACCCCUAUGGUCAGUUACUAACGGGUAAAGCCGAGGACUCUGACGAGACUGCCGUGGACAACACGGAGGAAGGCGGGGAUGAGGUCAAAUCAUCAUGCCCCUUAUGACCUGGGCUAGAAACGUGCUACAAUGGCCGCCACAAAGAGAAGCGAGCCCGCGAGGGUAGGCGAAUCUCAUAAAAGCGGUCUCAGUUCGGAUCGUGGGCUGCAACCCGCCCACGUGAAGUUGGAGUUGCUAGUAAUCGCGAAUCAGCAUGUCGCGGUGAAUGCGUUCCCGGGGUUUGCACACACCGCCCGU